rnacentral:rRNA from 1 species
UACGGGGGGGGCAAGCGUUGUUCGGAAUUACUGGGCGUAAAGGGCUCGUAGGCGGCCAACUAAGUCAGACGUGAAAUCCCUCGGCUUAACCGGGGAACUGCAUCUGAUACUGGAUGGCUUGAGUUCGGGAGAGGGAUGCGGAAUUCCGGGUGUAGCGGUGGAAUGCGUAGAGAUCCGGAAGAACACCGGUGGCGAAGGCGGCCUGCUGGGCAGUUUAGCUGACACUGAGGCGCGACAGCGUGGGGAGCAAACAGG